rnacentral:misc_RNA from 1 species
ACCCUUGUGGAGGAGGACGCCGAAGGUGGGGCUAAUGACUGGGGUGAAGUCGUAACAAGGUAGCCGUACCGGAAGGUGCGGCUGGAUCACCUCCUAACAGGGAGACAACAAAAUGUUUAAUAUUAUUAUUUUGUCACCUUAGGUCGAUCGGUAUCUCAUGUUCUUAAAUUAUUAAGAAUUUCAAUUCCUAAGUUUUUCUAGGUCACACCCAUUAUUUUCCUGGGCCAUUAGCUCAGGUGGUUAGAGCGCACCCCUGAUAAGGGUGAGGUCCCUGGUUCAAGUCCAGGAUGGCCCAUAUCUCUAUGUUGGGGGUAUAGCUCAGUUGGUAGAGCGCCUGCUUUGCAAGCAGGAUGUCAGCGGUUCGAGUCCGCUUACCUCCACUGAUUACCACCUCUACCAUAAUUUGUAGAAGGGAAUGUUUUGAGUUGUGAUCAAAUUCUGAACGAAUCUAGCUUCCUAAUUAAAUAAUUAAGAUGCUGGACUCAUUGAAUUUAUUUCAUUGUUUUCAGAGAACCUUGACAACUGCAUAGAUUAUUUUUAAAGACAAUGAGCAUCUUUAAUGAUGCAGAUUUAUUAUUUGUGCGAAUGCAUUAAUAACAAUUCUAUUAAGCUGAUGCUUCAAUUUUUGAAGUUAUUGGUCAAGCUACAAAGGGCUCACGGAGGA